AUGGGUUUUUGACAGAUUCAAGCAGGUAAAAUAGCACCGAGGCUCUGCGAAAGCGCGGUCACACCUGCCGAGGUGGCACAAUUGCAAAAACGCGGCAUAAAUUAAAAACAGGUUUUGAGAAUGCUUUUUCAUGGGCAAGAACCUUAGGCAUCAUAGUUAAAAGCCUCGGCUCCUUGAGAAGGAGGCUGCUUGCUCCUUCCUUGACUUGUGUUUCUAGACCAAGAAAAAUUAAACAUCAUCUCCUGCCUUUUUCUUGGCCUUGCUGCUCACUAAUGGACUGGGAGAGACAGCACUUACAAGUCAGAGCAGCACUCAAGAGUCCAACCCGCAAAGGAGGAUGCCUCCUGACAAUGACACCUCUCUCGAGGCCCCGGCAUUCUCUGUGUUGAGAUCACAAUCCUGGGCCAGCAUUGUGUAGAAUGACCGCCGAGGACGCUGAAGUCUGCCCCACGGUUUUAUAGAGGAAGGGACUCUAAAGGAGGGAAACCAAGGACCAGCUACUCAAAGUCCCAGGAUGGCCACUUGUUUGAUUUUACUCCUUCCGGGAGUCAGACGGCAUUAUCUUGCAGCCAUCCGGCACACUGCAUUCAACAGGGAUACAGAUCACCAGACACAAUCAGGAGAAACUAAGGCAAGAUUCUAUGCAAGAUUCUAUGCAAGAGAAAACCUGCUGGCAGGGGACAAGCUAUUCGCCAAACAGCUCGACGCUACCAACCAACCCCAGGAAGUUAUCCAUUCUUCCUGGGAAAGUCUACAAAUAGGACCUCAGCCGGUUCUGGAGCUGGGUUAGGAAUGGUGGUGUAUAAGCCACGGAUUGGUUAGAGCCUUGGCUCCAGCGUGGGGAGCAGCACCUUCUUACUGCCAUGCCAGCACCAUUCUGGAUGCAAGUUCAGGGUUAACAUAACUUAUUUCUCCCUGCUGUAUCCUGACGGGUGUGUGAUUACAGUGUUACUCUUUUGACUGCUUUCAAGGUAACCUUUUCUGCCCUUUCUGUGUAUUCAAGACAGUUGGCAAGUGGUGAGGUGAUGCUUUGUAGUCGCCCUUGAGGAGGGCGGGAGAGUGGAAGGGAGGGACAGAAGACAUUUAAAGAAAGAGCAGUUCACUGUGCUCCUUCCAAACACCCUACUGUUGAACCCCCCCCCACACACACACACACUUACCUUUACCAACAUUCUGCUUCUCCCCUGGAGCUAGCUCUGCACUGGGAACUUGGUGGUAGUAGCCCUGCCAAUCCACCCCUUGGAAGACCCUGGCAGGACUGGUCAGUGUUUCCCAUUCACAAACCCUCAGCCCUCCUCAGGGAAGCCUUCCACUUUGUAGAAAGCCUCAGUGUCAUAAAGCCAGUACCUAGAACGCACAAUCUAAUUUUCAUGAUCAAAGGCCAUUUUGCAUAGAGGAGUGUACCUCACACCUUUGCUAAGGCUGACAUUUACCCAGAGCCAUUCUGCCUGGCUUGGUGGCAGCCUCCUUUUGCUGAGUGGCAGCAGCAGGAGUCAGGAAGAAAAAAAGAAAAACCUUGUGCUAGGGCGACCGCAGCCAGGAUUUGCUAAUAGAGACAAUACCUUGCCCCAGAGGCUGUUUCCAGCUGCAGCCUGAAGCACACACGUUGAGAAUGUACCACACGGAACUGUCAGUCAGUACUGGAGCCAGAAAAUUGUUGUUUCAAAUGUUACAGUACAGGAAAAUCGCCUCUCUGCACUUGCUGCCAAAAAAAUGACAGCUUAAUUUAUGCCACACCGAAGCUACAUUACAGAGCCAUUCAGCUUGGCAGUUAAGUACGCUCCAUGCUCACAUCUUCCCCCUGCGCAAGUGUACUGGGGGGAAGUACACAGUGGCUAUAAUAAGGACAAUUGGCUGCAGGGUUUGCCGUGUCAGUGGAACUAAAUGCAGGUGAAACAGUAUCAGCAAUAAAAUACAUCACCCCUACCUCAUUUGCAAAACCCACUGCUGCUCUGUACUUGCAAAUCCCCAGGAAGACUCACUGCAACAUUGUUAUGCACGGGAUAGAUUAGGGAGUGAAGUGCUGGUGUCAACCCCUGGGGUUUUAUGGAGAGGGGAGGUGCCACAGUAUUACGGGUGACUUUGAAAAUUAUGUCAGUAUCCUUGAUACAGACCUUCAGAACUUGGCUGUGUUUGCCCUUCCUGAAAUGAAAAACCUGGCAGCAUUAUACUGUAGCCAAGAACAACCUGUGUAUCGUGAAUGAUACAGUAGUCUGUCUAAAAAAAAUUGAGUAAUUGUCAUCAAAGUUUCAUUCCACACCUAUUUCCAUUAAUUUUCACACACACACACACACACACACACUUAUAUGAAUAUAAACAAUACAUUCUCUAAAAGUUGGAGAUUAACUGGGGGUGCUCUUUUCUUCAUGUUCUCAGCUGUGACAACUCCGUUUUAACACCUAAAUUCUAACAGCCCCAAAGCCCAAUUCAUACUCGAAUUUCAAAGGACAUCCCAGAGUCUCCUGCACACACACACACAUACUUAAUGUGAAGGAGGCCACCUUUAAGAGCCUCUUUCAUGAACACCCUCUUAUGCGGAAUGGCCACAGAGAACUGAACAUUACUAACUGAGCCCCAGCGUAUUUGCCAAGAAGAGAUUUAUGAGUAAUUUACAAAAUCUUUGUAAGGCAGUCCUUGUAAAAUAUCACAGCCCCGAGGAAGCAGGCGGGCUAUGGCUGGCUUCUCGCACUCAGCAAGCCAUUCAUAGCAGAGCGAGCAGCUCUCAGAGGAGAGCAAAUGCAUUUGCAAUGACUGCUGUUGUGCUGUAAAUCACCCUCAAUAAAACAAUGGGCAGAAAUAAAUGAUACAUAUCUGUUUAAUAAUCCAUUACCCCCAAAUAAAUACUCCACCUCAAAAUAAAGCAAACGUGCUCGCCCUGGCUGUUGACGUGGGAGAGCUGCUCUGCUAACGGUAAAGUGAUUUGUAAAGCAGGGCACUGGCAAUGAGCCUUGUGUCCUGCGUGCGCGUGAUAAAUUAAUAUCUCUCCAUAACUCACCAGUAGGGGUGCCUUAAGGUCAAAGCACCAGCAGAAACCCUCCCAAGGGCCAGUGACCACGCUCAUCCAAGCAUCUCUGCGUGGCUUUGUCGGAGCAUCGACCUAGCAUGGAUCUAUAUGUGGUGAGGUUUACACUAGGCUAUGCAAAUAAAGAGCCAAGUAGACAGAUCUCUCAGCUUGGAAGAUGGGCCACCAUGAGGCACACCAGAAUUUGUCUAGUAAGAAAAACACACACUUAUGUGUGCUUGUUUGUAGUCUUCUUAGGGGUCGGGUCCGAGGCUCUGCACAUGCUAGGCAAACUGUCUGUCACUGGACUACGUCCCCCCAACCCCCCAGCCUGUGCCUGAUGCUUUAAACAGGAGAGAAGAUAAGGACUCUGACAAGCUGACAUUUUUUCCCAAUUUACAUAGAUUUACCACACUGUUUCCCACCCAGACACCAUAAUUGGGGGUCUCUAUUCCGACAUCCCUUUCUGUUUAGCCCUUGGCUCAGCUAUGGGUUCUGAUGGUCACACCAGCCCUGUGCCGCCUGCCUGCUGGUCACACCUGCUGGCCACACCCUCUCUAUUCCGCUUGUCUGUUGGUGAGUCUCCACAGGGGACAAAACCUUGAAUAAAAUCACGAAAC